rnacentral:rRNA from 1 species
AUUGAACGCUGGCGGCAUGCCUUACACAUGCAAGUCGAACGGCAGCGGACCUUCGGGUGCCGGCGAGCGGCGGACGGGUGAGGAAUGCAUCGGAAUCUGCCUCGUUGUGGGGAUAACGUAGGGAAACUUACGCUAAUACCGCAUACGACCUACGGGUGAAAGUGGGGGACCUUCGGGCCUCACGCGAUGAGAUGAGCCGAUGCCGGAUUAGCUAGUUGGCGGGGUAAAGGCCCACCAAGGCGACGAUCCGUAGCUGGUCUGAGAGGAUGAUCAGCCACACUGGAACUGAGACACGGUCCAGACUCCUACGGGAGGCAGCAGUGGGGAAUAUUGGACAAUGGGGGCAACCCUGAUCCAGCCAUGCCGCGUGUGUGAAGAAGGCCUCGGUUGUAAG